GUAAAAGACUUCAAGGCUGUUCCAAGGGAUGUGAUUUUCUCAUGAUAAGUUCCAGGUAAAGAGAGUGACUUGACGUCAUCUAUAUAAAACACAAGCAAAACAGUUAAGUCUCACCCAGAGAGGUAAAGGGAUAAAUCUGGGAUUUUUCGAGGUGUGGAAAGAGGGGCACCAAAGUGUUUAUCGUGGGUCUUCAAUUUUGCAGUCCUUUUGGGGAAUAUUACCCAAAGGACCUCUACAUUAUCAGUAUCAAGGAUCAUAUAAUGAUGAUGAUUGAAAAGAUGAUGAUGGCUAUAAUGGGACAAGUACUAAGAUAGGACAUGCUGCAGCCAUGACUUGGACGCAAAAAGGAAAAAGAAAGCAUUAAAGACCAUGACACAUUGGAGAGCCAGGAGACUUGAGAAGAAGUGUGAGUUGGAGCAGCUAACAAUGUACAGUAUAGUGUUGUAGACUUGUUGACGAUGCUCUAUACUAGGCAAGGGUGAUGAAGAUGGCUAAAGAUUGGCUCGGUGCAUCAAGAAAAUAACCCAAGCGUAAGCGAAGAGAUCGCAUUGAAAAAAAUAAUAAGAUAUACAAGCUUUACAAGCAACAAGGAUUAUAAAAAAAGGCUGAAGUCUGGGGCAAAAUAAUCAUCUUGUUGUCUCGAUGUUCUAAAUGUAAACACGGACGCUGACACUUCGCCAAAUUGGCAAUAGAGGUUAACAUAGAAUGGUUCAAUGUGUAUAGAUAUACAAUAUUCUACACGGAAAAACUAACAAUUAUAAAUAAUCAAUGAUUAUUAAAACUAAGCAGCAUUUUUCUGCGGUUGGAAAACGAAACACAAACAAACUCGCUACGCGCCAAAGGAAUUCGAAAUAAAAACAGCAACUUUAA